NNNGGAGACCUGGGGGGCACCAGGGGACAUGGGGGGCACUCGGGGGGGAUCCCAGGGAUGUGGGUGGCACUGGUGGAUGCAGGGGGACACUGGGGAAUGGGGGGACAUCAGGGGAACAUGGGGGGCAUCCAGGGGGACACGGGUGGCUCCUGGGUCCUGGCCCAACUCCCCUCUGCUCGCACAGACAUGCCGACCACAGGGGACGGCGACGGSGACGGGGACUUGGCCCACGGUCAGUAACGCCCAUCAUCCCCCUGAGCACCCACCGGGUGAUGCUGCGUGUCAUGAGACCCCGGGGACCAGGGAGGGACCCGAGGACCAGGAGGGACCCCGGAGACCAGGAGGGAGCCCAGGGACCAGGGAGGGACCCGGGAACCAGGGAGGAACCCAGAUGUCCUGAGCAUUGGGGGUGGGCAUGGGGGACCAAGGGGGGACCCCAGGGACUGGGGAGGGUCCUGGGGACCAGGAGAGACCCCAGAGACCGUGGAGGGACACAAGGACCAGGAGAGACCCUAGGGCCAAUGGAGAGACCCCCAGGACCAGGGAGGGACCAAAGGACCAGGAAGGACCACAGGGACCAUGGAGGGACCCCAAGCACCAGGGAGGGACCCAAGGACCAGGAGGGACCCCUGGGGACCGGGGAGGGAUCCCUGGGGCCAGGAGGGACCCCAGGGCUUGGGGAGGAGCCUUGGGGACCAGGGGGGACCCAAGGGCCCAUGAAGGGACCCAUGGACCAAGGAGAGCCCCCGGACACCAGGGAGGGACCCAAGGACCAGGAGGGACCCCUGGGGACCGGGGAGGGAUCCCAGGGGCCAGGAGGGACCCCAGGGCUUGGGGAGGAGCCUUGGGGACCAGGGGGGACCCAAGGGCCCAUGGAGGCACCCAUGGACCAAGAAGAGCCCCCGGACACCAGGGAGGGACCCAAGGACCAGAAGGGACCCCUGGGGACCGGGGAGGGAUCCCAGGGGCCAGGAGGGACCCCAGGGCCUGGGGAGGAGCCUUGGGGACCAGGGGGGACCCAAGGGCCCAUGGAGGCACCCAUGGACCAAGAAGAGCCCCCGGACACCAGGGAGGGACCCAAGGGCCAAGAGGGACACCAGGGACCAAGAGGGAUCYCAUGGACCAGCAGGGACCCCAGGGAAUGGGGAGCAACCCAUGAACCAGGAGCCGGGGUGGGGACCCCAAGGACCUCGCAGGGGGGGGGACCCAAGUGUCCGGGUGGGGGGGGUCAGGCCCUGACGCGGUCCCUGCUCGCAGGGGUGAGGCAGGACUCACCGGGCUCCUUGGUGCCGCUGCCGGUGCUGGCGGGCUGCGUGCUGGGAGCCUUCGCGCUGGGCGCCCUGGCCGCCGGGCUGCUGGCCACCUGCUACCGGGCUCCCGCAGCACCCAAGGGUGCCGAGAC
rnacentral:lncRNA from 1 species